GAAUAAAGGAAGAAAAGGAGGUGGGGAAGCUUCUCACCCCACCGUCCCCUCAGUGGGAUGCGCGUGGUUGUGUGAGGGGUGCAGUGCCGGGCAGGAGGGGCGGGUUCUGGCUGCAGGAAGCCCCCUGCCUACGUGGAAGGAGCUGUGAAGAGGAAUCGUGGCAUUAGAAAGCGUUGCCUUGUUCCCACUUCAUUUCCUAGUACCAGAUAAUUGCUUUUUCAACUCAAUUGAGACUCGGUUUGUGUUAUUGCUGUUACCGCUCCUCUGCGAGCUUCUGUGUCUGUCUCAGAGACCCGUGUCUCCUGUUAGUCUCGUGCUCGCUCUCUGGACGUGGUUGAUAACAAAUGAUGUUCAGUGCUAAGUUCAGUAAUGGCAUCCUGAAAGUGCACGGCGAGGAGGUGGCAGUGACGACGGGAGGGAAUUGCCAUGUUCCUGGGCUGUCCCUGUGCUCCAUCAGCUGUGGAGCCCUAUAGGCCGUGCAGCCGGGCCCUUCUCCUUCACCGGACGGAUGCUACUGCUCUCAGCCAUCUUUUACACUAAACCAACACAUGUAUCCAGUAAACAUUCCAAAAAACUCUGAUCACAAACCACUGUUCAUACUUUAUUUUGGUGGAGGUCCUUAUUCACUUCUGUUGAAAAUGAGGUGAGAUGUCCCUUCUGCUUGACAUUGUGUCACAUCGGAGCGUUUUUGGGCAGUGUGGCUUUGAGGCACGCAGAUCAACCAAGAAAACCAUUCACAGCUGAAUUAAGUGCUGGCUUCUCUCACAGGACUUUGGUGCAACUUUUUUUCUCCUGAAUUCUCCUGCUCCUGGAUUUAUGUAAUUAAAUGACAACCUCAGCUCUUGUGAGAAAUAAAAAAUACGGUUUCUAUACAUCACGAUUCCGGAGGGACACUUUAAAAAGUGAUUUGACGUUUCCCUAAAUGUGCAACGACCAACAGAGAAAUAAAAUGAAACCCACAUUUAUUAUUAGGAAAAAUCUUGCAACUUUUAGCCGUGCUUGUCAUUUUAAAAACUGACUUAUGAUUUAGAUGAGACAUUAAGAACAGUUUUCUAAUAGAAAGAUGGGAAGCAUGAGGAUAGAUUGCCUGGAGUGGCAGUGGGAGGAUUUGAAAAUUGGUUGGACAAAUGUCUGCAGGAACGUGGCAGCUGCAGCCGAUGCGGCCCCGUGCAAUGGACACACCAGGACUCCUUCGUGCCCCUGUGGACAGGGGCUGUCAAACCCAGGAUCGCUCCCUGCCCGGUGCUGCCUUUCCGCUUGACUUCUCUGGGCUUACUUUUUGGGCAUAAGCAGUUCCUCUGGGCAGCCAGGAGCAAGGCAGGGGGUCACCUUCUCUGCACACGUUAUACAUGAAUAAACACCUUCCUAGGAUUACUUAACCCAAGUCUG